rnacentral:lncRNA from 1 species
GACUUUCUCCAGAACCCUUCCAUUCUGCACGAACCGGCUCGGAAUAACCCCGGCGGGCCGUGCCGCAGGCGAGGUCCUUCCGCCCGGAGAUUGACGGGACUACCAGCCAAUCGGCAGUCAGAGCGAGUCUCCCGCGUACCCGGAAGAGGCAACGGAACCAGGCACUUUAUUCCAGUAGAAAAACUGGGUCGCAGCAACAGUGGCCGACGAGCCGAGGAAGCCAGGGGCGCUCUCGCCAGCGACAGCGCGCAGCGGGUGCACGUUGAGGUCGGCUGCCUGGCGUUGCUGCAGCGACGGCCUCUGUUUCCGGGCGCGCGGCGCCCUCGCGGGACGUCACUUCCGCCCGGCCUCGGUGAAGCCCCUUCCUCUUUUGGUUCCCUUCUUCCUUCCCUUGGCCCCGCCUCCCGGAAGCUCCGAUGGGUCCUCGCCUGCGGGUCAGGGGUGAGGAGUGGGGGCGCCGAGCGGACCCCGGCGAAUAACUGCCCGAGUUCCGCUCUCCAGCGGCGCGAGUCGUUAGAGACCAGGCGAGGUCCGACUCGGGUUACUGCCGCCCAUAAGCCCCCUUUUCCUGGAGCGUGGCUCGGACGCGGGGUAGUGUGUCGUCUCGGUGAUGGCAGGGCCGCUUUCUAAAGCAGCGAGGUGCUUUAGCAUCCAUUUCUCCUCCUCGAGCUCCGAGACCCCGGGAGGCAGUUUGGGCAGACAGAGUAUUUGCUCGCCUCCCCUGUUGCUGUGAGGAAACUGAAGCUCUUGUGGAAGUCCCUCCAGGCAACACGGCUCCCUGAGAGGUAGAAUUGUGAUUCACACUCAGGUCAGGGCUCCCCAGGGUUGCAUCGAAAUGAUGAGGAGAGCGUUUGGCGAUAGGGAAGAAACUGCAGAUACAAGAAAAGGGAGCUGGUAUUUCUGAGUGUGUUCUUCGUGUGCGGCGUUAUGCUUAAGUUCUCCCUGUACUUACUCAUCCUUUGAAAGGGGCACGGUAAUAAUACUCUUAUCCCUGGGAUAGGAGACUGAGCCUCAGCCUCAGUGAUGAUACACGGCUUGUUCAGUAUUAAUGAUUCAGUAGACACUUCUCAGGUCGCUUUCAGCUCUGUGUUGUCCCCAACACAAUAGAUUUGGUUCCUGUCCCAUUCAAACUAUUAUUCUGAUUCUGGCAUUUCAGGAAGUGAGAUUUCUCUUUUUUCUUAGUCUCUUCAUUCUUUGCCCAUUGUCCCAUUUGUCUUACUCCUUAUCAGCAUCCUGUUUAGAAAUUAGUAGUUGCCUAGAUUCAGCCCUGACUCUUAACUCCACACUUCACUUUUUUCUUUCCAGGAGGAAUAUGGGGAUUGUGUUCCUUGGUAUGAAGUUCAUGGAUUUAGGUUAAGAGGCUGGCAGAAAACUUGCUAGUUUUUACUUUGGAAGUGAUCUCUUUAUUGUUGCUCUUCUUUCAUAUCUUACCUAAAGUUUCUGUUUUUUUU